GCUCAAGUUGCUGCAGAUAAAUCUGGGAAGUGAAGAAAUACUAGAAACUUCCUUAAGUAGUUUAAGUAAACUCCUUUACUGAGAAGGUCUUAGAAACCCUUCCCUUUGCUGCGCUCCGAAAAUCGCAACCUUGCUGGGCUUCUGGUUGCCGAUCUAGUUUUUGCCCUCCCGCUUCUUCAUUAGGUCCUUGAGAGAGCUGUGAAACACAGAUCUAUCCUGUUCAGUGCUGCGGGCCCGCGCUCUGGAAAGUUUCUGCAUUUCUUUGAGCGGCUGCUUUCCCCACCGAGUUUCCCGGGGCCCGGGCACCCGCAGCCCUCCUCUCUCUGCAGAACGUGAGGGGCGUGAGCAGUCGGGCGGUGGGCUCGUCUCUCCCCGGCUGCUGCCCAUGCAGCCAUCUCUCAUUCUCCUCUCCCUAGUGAGCCCUUCUGGAAGAAAUUGGGCCCUAAGUGUGGUCUCAGCUCUCUCAAGUGAUGGGGAGCCUUGGAGAUGGUUUGAGAACCAAGUUCUGCACGCUAGUAUCCAUUCUCCCAACUGAUAAUGACGCUUCAGUUGCCCGUAAGGAAGACCCUCCUUCCCCCAUUGGAUACAACCUUACUUCGACUGUUACUCAAGGUGUCCUACCCUCCUCUGGCCAGUGGAAAUUAAUAAGGAAUCUUCAGAGGAAGCAACAUUCUCUGGAAAGCAGACUCUUGCCAGCUCUGAUUAGCCCUGAGCUAACAUCUGCUGCCAAUCCUCCGCUUUUUUGCCACAGAAGACUGGCCCUGAGCUAACAUCCGUGCUCAUCUUCCUCUGUUCUAUAUGUGGGACGCCUGCCACAGCAUGGCUUGACAAGUGGUGUGUAGGUCCGCACCUGGGAUCCAAACCGAACUUACUUUUUUGAUGUGUGGAAGAACGUUUGUCAAUUCCCAAUGCUGUGAUUACUCGAAGAUGCCAACAAUGAUUCUGUGAUAAUAUAUGUCGCUCUUCCCAGUCUUCAUGCACCUGCAGGGCUGUCAACACUGGGAGGACUGGAAGAAAUUUGUAAAGAGUCUGGGAGUCUUCAGAGAGGAAAAGAGUGCAGACCUGGACUCCUCCUUUUCCAAUGUCUUUAUUAUUAGAAGGUUUUCUAUGCAUUGAGCCGGUUCUGAUUAAGAAAGGAUCUAAUAAGAAGGAACAUUGAAGACCUUAAGCUGUUAGCCCUGCUGUGGCCGGCAUUACCCGAUGGGACAGGCUAUCCGGUCAUGGGCACGACUGGAGGCAGAAGGCCCUCCUGACCCGGCCACUGUGCUCUGUAAACUAAAAAGCUGUUGGCGCGGAUGCCAUGUCUUACCUCUGAGGAGCAGGCUGCUUCUCUCUUGACGAAUCGCUGUGGCCACUAUUGGAAUCUGCAACAGCAAAGGCCAGCGCACACCAGGCGAAAAGGUCACCCUGGCCUGUGGGGGAUCCGUUUUCAUCAGUAAACGGUGCCAGGAGCAGAACACCAGCAGCCUUCAGCUUGUAUUCUCUCAGACUCUCUGGUUUUCUCCCUCUGAGGUGGAUCAAGAGGCCCCCAGAGUUUUUGAACAAUUUGAUAGACAAGAGAGACCUUGGACUCCCUGCUAGUCUGGCAAUUGAGAAGUGGUUUUAAUUUGGAAAAAAUAACAGGUGGGACCUCAUUUUUACCCAAAACUAUUGAAGUAGAUCCUACUAUUACCACAUG
rnacentral:lncRNA from 1 species